AGCGGUUUGGUGGAGGGGGGAUGGGCGAGGAAAAUAUUUCCUCGUCAGCUGCGAAGCUUCAGUCACGUUAAGUCGAGACAGUCGCUGCAGAAAUGUGGAGAGGAAGUAACGUUAACUCAGUUAGUUCAUUCAGUCAGGAAAUUAAAAUUACAGUUUGUAGAGGAGGAACCGCUGCAGAAAAAAAUAUUCACACAUCGCUCAGACAGAAGAAACUGAACUGAAAACUGUGUGAAACUUUUACACAGAGCGGUUCAUGCUUUGAGGAAGAGUGUUUUUUGAGGUUCCUGGUGUGAGAUGAACAUGGCAACCUCACCGGGCUGCUGGCAUGGCUGGAAACUGACUAUUUAUGACUCUAUACACAGUGAUGUGUGAAUUCUAGAGUCCUGCAUGAUUUGCAGCCUGUGAGCUGCCGUCUUGCUUCUCAGCCAUCACCUACUUCCUGUCGCCAUCACCUACUUCCUGUCGCCAUUACCUACGUCCUGUCGACAUCACCUACUUCCUUUUUCCAUCACCUACUUCCUGUCACCAUUACCUACGUCCUUUCGCAAUCACCUACUUCCUGUCGCCAUCACCUACUUCCUGUCGUCAUCACCUUCUUCCUGUCACCAUCACCUACUUCCUAACACCAUCACCUACAUCCUGUCGUCAUCACCUACGUCCUGUCGACAUCACUUGCUUCCUGUUACCAUCACCUACGUCCUUUCGCCAUCACCUACUUCCUGUCGCCAUCACCUACUUCCUGUCGCCAUUACCUACGUCCUGUCGACAUCACCUACUUCCUUUUUCCAUCACCUACUUCCUGUUGCCAUUACCUACGUCCUGUCGCCAUCACCUACUUCCUGUCGUCAUCACCUACUUCCUGUCACCAUCAACUACUUCCUAACGCCAUCACCUACAUCCUUUCACCAUCAACUACUUGUCACCUUUUGUUGUUCUUUUACAGGUUACUUUUUCAGAUGUCAACCUACCAACUUCCUUUAAAUGAUACAAAAGUCUGAACCAUAAAAAAGAAAAUGUUCACUGUAGAAAUAUGGUUCAGUCUGAUCUGGACCGAAACCACCUCUUUUCAUCAGUCCAAGGAUUGAUGUUUGGUCCGGAGGAGGUUUCACACCUUGUAGUUUUAGUUUGGAUCAAACUGAAAAGUCUUUAUGAUAGGUGUGAAAGGGCCAUAAGAUUCAACAGUUGUGUUAGUCGUGUCUGUAAUGUUUACCACGUUCACAAUCUUAGUUUAGCAUGUUAUCAUUUGCUAAAUAGUAGUAAACACAAAGUCCAGCUGAGGCUGAUGGGAAUGGUAUUAGUUUUGCAGGUAUUUGGUCAUAAUCCACAGUACUGGAAACCCUAAAAUGUUGACCUGAUGAUGGAGCUAAAUGAAAAGUCAGAGGAUCACCAAAGUUAUUACAACUCAUAAUGGCAUAAUGUCAUUUCAAUAGCAAACUAAUUAACAGUAAGAUGAGAUGUCAGUUUUCUCUUUGAGUGUCUUAAACCCAAAUCAUCCGAGACUCUUCCUCUGUGUCAUGAUUGGUUUCUAUAUCCUGUUUUAUUUUGAAGUGUUCACUCCCCCUUAUGUCAUGUCUAGUUGUACAUCCU